ncrna:Burkholderia pseudomallei K96243 C4 antisense RNA
UUCAAUGGUCGGGCCUUGGUGGGGGUGCGUUCGCGCACGCCGGUUUCCUUGGACGCCGGUUCGCCAACCCUGUCAUGUGCCCGGCCACCCCA